rnacentral:rRNA from 1 species
GAUGAACGCUGGCGGCGUGCCUAAUACAUGCAAGUCGAGCGAACGGACGAGAAGCUUGCUUCUCUGAUGUUAGCGGCGGACGGGUGAGUAACACGUGGAUAACCUACCUAUAAGACUGGGAUAACUUCGGGAAACCGGAGCUAAUACCGGAUAAUAUUUUGAACCGCAUGGUUCAAAAGUGAAAGACGGUCUUGCUGUCACUUAUAGAUGGAUCCGCGCUGCAUUAGCUAGUUGGUAAGGUAACGGCUUACCAAGGCAACGAUGCAUAGCCGACCUGAGAGGGUGAUCGGCCACACUGGAACUGAGACACGGUCCAGACUCCUACGGGAGGCAGCAGUAGGGAAUCUUCCGCAAUGGGCGAAAGCCUGACGGAGCAACGCCGCGUGAGUGAUGAAGGUCUUCGGAUCGUAAAACUCUGUUAUUAGGGAAGAACAUAUGUGUAAGUAACUGUGCACAUCUUGACGGUACCUAAUCAGAAAGCCACGGCUAACUACGUGCCAGCAGCCGCGGUAAUACGUAGGUGGCAAGCGUUAUCCGGAAUUAUUGGGCGUAAAGCGCGCGUAGGCGGUUUUUUAGGUCUGAUGUGAAAGCCCACGGCUCAACCGUGGAGGGUCAUUGGAAACUGGAAAACUUGAGUGCAGAAGAGGAAAGUGGAAUUCCAUGUGUAGCGGUGAAAUGCGCAGAGAUAUGGAGGAACACCAGUGGCGAAGGCGACUUUCUGGUCUGUAACUGACGCUGAUGUGCGAAAGCGUGGGGAUCAAACAGGAUUAGAUACCCUGGUAGUCCACGCCGUAAACGAUGAGUGCUAAGUGUUAGGGGGUUUCCGCCCCUUAGUGCUGCAGCUAACGCAUUAAGCACUCCGCCUGGGGAGUACGACCGCAAGGUUGAAACUCAAAGGAAUUGACGGGGACCCGCACAAGCGGUGGAGCAUGUGGUUUAAUUCGAAGCAACGCGAAGAACCUUACCAAAUCUUGACAUCCUAUGACAACUCUAGAGAUAGAGCUUUCCCCUUCGGGGGACAAAGUGACAGGUGGUGCAUGGUUGUCGUCAGCUCGUGUCGUGAGAUGUUGGGUUAAGUCCCGCAACGAGCGCAACCCUUAAGCUUAGUUGCCAUCAUUAAGUUGGGCACUCUAAGUUGACUGCCGGUGACAAACCGGAGGAAGGUGGGGAUGACGUCAAAUCAUCAUGCCCCUUAUGAUUUGGGCUACACACGUGCUACAAUGGACAAUACAAAGGGCAGCGAAACCGUGAGGUCAAGCAAAUCCCAUAAAGUUGUUCUCAGUUCGGAUUGUAGUCUGCAACUCGACUACAUGAAGCUGGAAUCGCUAGUAAUCGUAGAUCAGCAUGCUACGGUGAAUACGUUCCCGGGUCU